ACCCGCUGAACUUAAGCAUAUCAAUAAGCGGAGGAAAAGAAACUAACCAGGAUUCCCCUAGUAGCGGCGAGCGAACCGGGAAGAGCCCAAA
rnacentral:rRNA from 1 species